CCUUCCUCAAGGCCACCAUCUCACCGAUCUCAUCGCCCCGUCUUCACUCGUCCCCUACCUUUCGCUUUGGCCCACUCAGAUUUUCAGAACCUCUUUCUCUCUCCAACUAGAUCAUCCCCUUCCAUGGAUCCCACGAUCCGCUCUUCCUCUCCUGCCCGCCGUGGAAGCGCAGUCCGCUACUCCGCUCUACCUCCGUGGAAAAGUCGGGUUGAAGGAUGUCAGUGAUGGAUUCGUCAAUUUGCGU
rnacentral:lncRNA from 1 species